AGUGGCGGACGGGCGAGUAACGCGUGAGUAACCUGCCCAUAAGAGGGGGAUAAUCCUUGGAAACGAGGACUAAUACCGCAUAUUGAAAUUUUAUGGCAUCAUAGAAUUUUGAAAGAUUUAUCGCUUAUGGAUGGACUCGCGUCAGAUUAGCUAGUUGGUGAGGUAACGGCUCACCAAGGCGACGAUCUGUAGCCGAACUGAGAGGUUGAUCGGCCGCAUUGGGACUGAGACACGGCCCAGACUCCUACGGGAGGCAGCAGUGGGGAAUAUUGCGCAAUGGGGGAAACCCUGACGCAGCAACGCCGCGUGCAGGAAGAAGGUCUUCGGAUUGUAAACUGUUGUCGCAGGGGAAGAAGACAGUGACGGUACCCUGUGAGAAAGUCACGGCUAACUACGUGCC
rnacentral:rRNA from 1 species